GGGGUCAUUGCCUAAGACAACUGGGAAUACCAGAUAUUUACAUUACCAUUCAUCACAGCAGCAAAAUUACAGUUAUAAAGUAACAAUGAAAAUAAUUUUAUGGUUGUAGGUCACCACAACAUGAGGAACUUAAAGGGUUGCAGCCACUGGCAUAUAGCGUAAUCUUGUAGCUAGGAUGUUGAGAUACCAGCAACAGCCCACUGACCAUUGCAGCCUGCAUGGUGGAUAUUCUUAGAAUUAACAGCCGUCUACGUCAUCACCAGCCAUACAGAUGUGGAACCUGGAAAAAUGCAACGCUUCAAUAAAAUAAAUUGGUGCUCUGUAACUGUACCUGGGCCUCUCUGGAAUGCUUGGUAGAACUACAGCUACUUGAGUCCACUUCAGAUAACUGAUGCAGAAGGACUGAAGGUUGUCCCAGAAGGAGACUUACUGCAGUGAAGACAUGGGGACCAGCCGUUUUCUUCUUGUUCAUUUUGUACUUAAGAUUAAAAGUGUUCAACGCCCAUCUUGGCAGGAUUGAAGUAGUACUGGGUAUAAAAUAGACAAAUACAAAUUACACAUAUACUUAGAAUUAUGAGUGGGAUGAAUGCAGCUUGGGGGUCCCCAAAGCUGAAUGUGCAAUAUAAAUAUUUGGUUGGGUAGAAUUUAUUUAUUUUUUCCCUUGAAGCACUGUGACUCUUCCAGAAUGCAACAGUGACUGACUGAAUAUAUACAAUAUAGCAAUUUAUCAUAAAAGAAAUAAAUUAUUAGUGGAAAUUAACUUGUAAAAAACGAUUAUCUUAUCCUUGUAAAAUUCCUAUCACUUUAAAGAAUUGUCUAUCCUGAUUAAACUGAUAUUACAAGGGGGGGAACUUGAGACUAUUUUUUGGAGAUCUUACAAGCUGUAGUAAUGUUCCCCAAUAAACAAAUCACACCUUUUGUCUUGACUUCUGUUUUGCUUGUCCUCAAUGGGUUUUCCCAGCCCAGAGCAAAUCUGUGGCACUCAGAUGUCUGUAGCCCAACAGUGUUCAGAAAUCUUUGAAAUAAUCUUUCCCCAACAACCUAUACCAAAUAUACUUGGUGGGGUGGUAACUUUAGAUGUGAAACUAAGAGGGAGUGUGUAUAUUCUUGGUUUGCUUGAAACCAUUACCUUGGGAAGGCUUAAGUGACUGAAAGAAAGAUUUGAAUAUUAUGGGCACAUUAAGGAUUUGUCCAAGAAGAGUGUGGAUAGCCAGCUUCCUUCAGGGAUGAGCUAACUUUCUCUGCCUGGUAUAUUAGACCUGCAAUCAGCUGCCCUUUGCAGCUUUGAGUCCCUGGUCUUGAUGUGGUGUCUCAUUGCUCUGUCUAUGCUGCUGUCUUUCCUAUGCAAGGAUUCUUAUGUUAGCUGAAGCUCAGUUUCUGAGAGAAGCUUCUGCAUGUUAUUUCCAG
rnacentral:lncRNA from 1 species